rnacentral:rRNA from 1 species
CGCCUCUUGAAUUUAUAUAAGAGGUCCAGCCUGCCCAGUGACCCUGUUCAACGGCCGCGGUAUCCUAACCGUGCGAAGGUAGCGUAAUCACUUGUUCUUUAAAUGAGGACUAGUAUGAACGGCACCACGAAGGUUAUACUGUCUCCUUUUUCCAAUCAGUGAAUCUAAUCUCCCCGUGAAGAAGCGGGGAUAAAACUAUAAGACGAGAAGACCCUAUGGAGCUUAAAACAAUACAGCACUUGCUAAAAAAUUUAACAAUUCCAGAAUUUUUCAUUUUAUAAGCAACAUGACUGUGAGUUUUUGGUUGGGGUGACCACGGAGUAUAACACAACCUCCACGUUGAAAGAAUUUUAUUCUAAGCCAAAAAUUACAUUUUUAAGCAUCAAUAAAUUGACAUCUAUUGACCCAAUACUUUUGAACAACGAACCAAGUUACCCUAGGGAUAACAGCGCAAUCCACUUCAAGAGCUCCUAUCGACAAGUGGGUUUACGACCUCGAUGUUGGAUCAGGGUUUCCCAGUGGUGCAGCCGCUACUAAAGGUUCGUUUGUUCAACGAUUAAAACCCU